CCUACGGGCGGCAGCAGUGGGGAAUAUUGCGCAAUGGGCGAAAGCCUGACGCAGCGACGCCGCGUGAGGGAUGAAGGUCUUCGGAUCGUAAACCUCUGUCAGCAGGGAAGAACGGUCACUGUGCUAAUCAGGAGUGAAUUGACGGUACCUGCAAAGGAAGCACCGGCUAACUCCGUGCCAGCAGCCGCGGUAAGACGGAGGGUGCGAGCGUUAAUCGGAAUUACUGGGCGUAAAGCGCUCGUAGGCGGUAUGUCAAGUAAAGGGGGAAAUCCCCGCGCUCAACGUGGGAACUGCCUUUGAAACUGGCAAACUGGAGUGUGUGAGAGGAUAGUGGAAUUCCAGGUGUAGGAGUGAAAUCCGUAGAUAUCUGGAGGAACAUCAGUGGCGAAGGCGACUAUCUGGCACAUAACUGACGCUGAGGAGCGAAAGCGUGGGUAGCAAACAGGAUUAGAUACCCGGGUAGUC
rnacentral:rRNA from 1 species